CACAGUCUUUGUGACGGAGCUCAGCAAGUCUGCUUCUGUGCCUGGCUGUAAUGGGUGUGAAGUAGGAUGACAGCAAUGGAUGAGUAUGGGGUUGGGGAUAGGUCUCAUUUCUACUCAAGUUUUUUACUCUUCUGCAGCAAGCAAGCAGUGAAAAGUGUAGGCUGCACUAAAGACCGGCUCUAGCCUCCCUCAUUGUAGACUUCCCAGGAUUUGGAUCUGACUCCUGGUCCAAACCUGAGUUCCUCUCUUGGGUACUCACGUCAUAAUGAGGUAGACCUUAAGAUAUGGAAACCCAAAGCAUGGAGGAUUUGAACCCUCAGGGAAGGUGCGACUGCACAGAAACACUGGAAAAGAAAAAUCCGUAAUAUCAGUCUGUGGACACACUGAGGCAAACCUAGCAGGUAUUUUGAAGAUGCCCCAAAUUCAUAUGAGAAUCUUUUCUAUGGAAAUGCAACACAGGAGGAAACUCAGCUUUCUAUUGAAAAGAAUAUUUCACUGGAAAAAAUGUGACUGUUUUUGAUUCUUAUGCCCUUAAAUUACCAUUGUUUACCAUUUUAAAUUUGGUAUUAAUUACUCAUAAUUCUUUUAAAUGCUUUAGUCAUACAUUCAAGAAAUGCACAUAAGCAAUGAGCCUUAGAUGACCAGUAUGUUUUCACUGCUUGUUAAAACUUGC
rnacentral:lncRNA from 1 species